rnacentral:misc_RNA from 1 species
GAUGAAGAACGUAGCGAAAUGCGAUAAGUAGUGUGAAUUGCAGAAUUCAGUGAAUCAUCGAAUCUUUGAACGCACAUUGCGCCCCUUGGUAUUCCGAGGGGCAUGCCUGUUCUAGCGUCAUUAUAACCCUCAAGCUCAGCUUGGUGUUGGGGCCUGCUGCAGUGGCAGCCCUUAAAAUCAGUGGCGGCGCCAUCUGGCUCUAAGCGUAGUAAUUCUUCUCGCUAUGGAGUCCUGGUGGAUGCUUGCCAUCAACCCCCAAUUUUUCUAUGGUUGACCUCGGAUCAGGUAGGGAUACCCGCUGAACUUAAGCAUAUCAAUAAGCGGAGGA